rnacentral:rRNA from 1 species
AGCGAACGCUGGCGGCAGGCCUAACACAUGCAAGUCGAACGAACCUUUCGGGGUUAGUGGCGGACGGGUGAGUAACACGUGGGAACGUGCCUUUAGGUUCGGAAUAACUCAGGGAAACUUGUGCUAAUACCGAAUGUGCCCUUCGGGGGAAAGAUUUAUCGCCUUUAGAGCGGCCCGCGCCUGAUUAGCUAGUUGGUUGAGGUAAUGGCUCACCAAGGCGACGAUCAGUAGCUGGUCUGAGAGGAUGAUCAGCCACAUUGGGACUGAGACACGGCCCAAACUCCUACGGGAGGCAGCAGUGGGGAAUCUUGCGCAAUGGGCGAAAGCCUGACGCAGCCAUGCCGCGUGAAUGAUGAAGGUCUUAGGAUUGUAAAAUUCUUUCACCGGGGACGAUAAUGACGGUACCCGGAGAAGAAGCCCCGGCUAACUUCGUG